rnacentral:rRNA from 1 species
GAUGAACGCUAGCGGGAGGCCUAACACAUGCAAGCCGAGCGGUAUUGUUUCUUCGGAAAUGAGAGAGCGGCGUACGGGUGCGGAACACGUGUGCAACCUGCCUUUAUCUGGGGGAUAGCCUUUCGAAAGGAAGAUUAAUACUCCAUAAUAUAUUGAACGGCAUCGUUUAAUAUUGAAAGCUCCGGCGGAUAGAGAUGGGCACGCGCAAGAUUAGCUAGUUGGUGAGGUAACGGCUCACCAAGGCGAUGAUCUUUAGGGGGCCUGAGAGGGUGAUCCCCCACACUGGUGCUGAGACACGGACCAGACUCCUACGGGAGGCAGCAGUGAGGAAUAUUGGUCAAUGGGUGCAAGCCUGAACCAGCCAUCCCGCGUGAAGGACGACUGCCCUAUGGGUUGUAAACUUCUUUUGUAUAGGGAUAAACCUACCCUCGUGAGGGUAGCUGAAGGUACUAUACGAAUAAGCACCGGCUAACUCCGUGCCAGCAGCCGCGGUAAUACGGAGGGUGCAAGCGUUAUCCGGAUUUAUUGGGCUUAAAGGGUCCGUAGGCGGACUUAUAAGUCAGUGGUGAAAGCCUGUCGCUUAACGAUAGAACUGCCAUUGAUACUGUAAGUCUUGAGUAUAUUUGAGGUAGCUGGAAUAAGUAGUGUAGCGGUGAAAUGCAUAGAUAUUACUUAGAACACCAAUUGCGAAGGCAGGUUACCAAGAUAUAACUGACGCUGAGGGACGAAAGCGUGGGGAGCGAACAGGAUUAGAUACCCUGGUAGUCCACGCCGUAAACGAUGCUAACUCGUUUUUGGGCUUUAGGGUUCAGAGACCAAGCGAAAGUGAUAAGUUAGCCACCUGGGGAGUACGCUCGCAAGAGUGAAACCCAAAGGAAUUGACGGGGGCCCGCACAAGCGGUGGAUUAUGUGGUUUAAUUCGAUGAUACGCGAGGAACCUUACCAAGACUUAAAUGGGAAUUGACAGCUUUAGAAAUAGAGCUUUCUUCGGACAAUUUUCAAGGUGCUGCAUGGUUGUCGUCAGCUCGUGCCGUGAGGUGUUAGGUUAAGUCCUGCAACGAGCGCAACCCCUGUCACUAGUUGCCAUCAUUCAGUUGGGGACUCUAGUGAGACUGCCUACGCAAGUAGAGAGGAAGGUGGGGAUGACGUCAAAUCAUCACGGCCCUUACGUCUUGGGCCACACACGUAAUACAAUGGCCGGUACAGAGGGCAGCUACACAGCGAUGUGAUGCAAAUCUCGAAAGCCGGUCUCAGUUCGGAUUGGAGUCUGCAACUCGACUCUAUGAAGCUGGAAUCGCUAGUAAUCGCGCAUCAGCCAUGGCGCGGUGAAUACGUUCCCGGGCCU